rnacentral:lncRNA from 1 species
UAAGAACUAGCCAAACUAAACUCCACACAGUGAAGGUAUGGCUGGCUUUGUUUAUAAGGAAGGCUACAGGUAGAGCAACCACUGUCAAUUCAAGCUCUUCUGGAAAGUUCCUCUUCUUGACAAAAGGACCAUUAGAGAUUGUUACUGAGCAUCCCUUUUGUGACAGACAUUCUACAAACACCCAUGGAAAAUGGACACAAGAGAAAGUGAAACCUGCUUUUCACCAAAGUUGAUGGAAUAUUUGAACUUCACCUAAGAGAGUCUUUCAUCUUCUGGUCUUAAAAUUCUCCAGUGGG